UACAGAGGGUGCGAGCGUUGUUCGGAAUUACUGGGCGUAAAGCGCGCGCAGGCGGCUUCUUAAGUCUGUCGGUCAAAUGCCGGGGCUCAACCCCGCUGCAUGCCGGGGAUACUGGGAGGCUGGAGACACGUAGAGGCAAGCGGAAUUCCGGGUGUAGCGGUGGAAUGCGUAGAGAUCCGGAAGAACACCGGAGGCGAAGGCGGCUUGCUGGGCGUGAUCUGACGCUGAGGCGCGAAAGCGUGGGGAGCGAACAGG
rnacentral:rRNA from 1 species